rnacentral:lncRNA from 1 species
GAGAAGAUCCACUCAAUCGCCGACCAAGAAUCCUCGUACGCCGCCGGGAUCGGGUGCUCCGGCGCGCGGCGGUACUGGACCGAGACGGCGAGGCAGUUGGCGGACUUGGCGAGCUCCGCGACGUGGUUGUGGUAGAGGGGGGAGAAAGGUGACUCGAUGAUCCAAGCUCCGCCGUGGAUGUAGAUUAGCAGAGGGAGCUUCUUGUUCUUGUUGUUGUUGUGAGGGAGGAAGAGACGGACGGAGAGGUUAUGUUCCGGGGAGUAUACGACGUCCUUUGAAACGACGUCGUUUGUUGCGUCUAGUGAAGGAGGGAUGAUCUCGGUGCCGGUGAGACGCUCCUAGUUAUUAAGAUUUAAAGUCUAAGAUUUAGGAUAAAACUUUUUGUUUAACUAAUGUGCUUUGGUUAACCAAUGUGUUCUGUAACGACUACAUCAGACAUCAUUUGAUUUGUUGAAAAGAAAACUUUUUGUUUUAAAUAUUAUAUUUUUGAUUUUUUAUAUUAAAAUUAUCAUUUGAUAAAAAAUAGUUUAUUCUGUUUGUUUAGUAAAUGCUAUUUAUGAUUUCGAUUUUGUGUGAUAUUUUUGAGAUAAUUUUUAAUAUAAAAGAGGUAUACGGUUCGAGACUAAGUCUAAGACUAUGUACAAGAUUCAACACAUUCUACUUCAUUUUUUAACAUUUUAUGUCACUUUUUCUUUCUUUCACAUCAUUAUUUAACACACAUUAAACUUGUAUCCACUAUAAUGGUUUUGUUGGAUAAAAUUCAACAUUAUAUUUUAUCAAUUAAUAAUUAUUUUUUUAUAUAACCAAAUAAAAUAAACCCAGUCUCUAUUUAUAUAUAAUUUAAAAUGAUAAAUUAUAGUAUAAGAAAUAAAAAUAAAUUAAUUAAUUUAUAAUAAGAUUAAUUUAUUUUAAAUAAUUAAGAAAAUAUCAAAAAUAUUUAGAAAGUGACAUGCGUCGUCGGUGACCUCCACUUUCUUUUUAUUCAACAUGUUGAAUCUUUUCAACACCAAUUAAUCCACAUCAUCAAAUUUCAUUUUUUAGCACCCUCAAUGUAACGAUUCAACUGUUGAAUCUUUUAUUCAACAUUCCCAUUAUACACGGUCUAUUAGCUUUGCAUUCAGCCACCACAACUCCUUGCACGACCACCGCUACAACUCUGUUUACCACUAUUUUUAUUCCGCUGACUUCUCAUUCGUUAUCACCACCGUUGCAUUAUACACCACUAAUUUUAUUAAAUUUAUUGCCAACAGGAAAUCUGUUCUUUCUUUUUGAUUUUUAUGUUGUUGAAUUUUUACAUUUAUUAAUGCAAUGAAAUAUUAGAAGAUUUUUAAUAUUUAAUUAAAAUAAUUGUUUUUUAUAAUUUUCAGCUGCUGGAAAUUAAUCGAAGGUUGAUUACUCAAAAAAUCAUCGGUACAUUCAGAUGAUUCCAAUAAAAAUUUCUUACAAGAUUUAUCGUAACUUACCCAGUGUUUCCAAUAAUUGAUGAUUUUUUAGAUUCAAACUCCGAUGAAAUUAGGAUUAUCAAAAAAUGAUAUAACUUAUGUUUAGUAUGGUUGUCGAGUAUCACUUUUUUUUUUAAAGUGAAUGAAUUUUAUUAAGCAAAACAUAAAACCUAAUUUUAAUUGAAGCUCACAAAUAUUGCUUACCAAAAUGAAACGAUGUGUUUUAAAAAUUGGGACGUAUAUCAAUUCUAGAAUGUACGAAUUAGUGAGAUGGAAUCCUAGAUGGAUAUCCUCGGAGAGAAGCAAUCCGCUAUAGACUCCACAAAAGUCUUCUUAAAGAAAUUCGAAGCAUUAUAUAAACAGCAUCAAGCAGUAUCUUUGAUUCAGUUUAUUUCUUGCAAACAUAAUGAGUAAACAAAUCGAAUUAAAAACAGGUACAACAAAUUUAAAAAUUUAUCCAACACACAGGUAAUCACACUAUUAUCAUCAUCAAAAGAACAUUUCACAAAUCAUCAUCACCAUUUGAACCGUCGGUUAUAAACUCGACAAACCGAUCCAAGAAUCUCAAAGCACUCUCAGAGCCAGGGUUCUGCAGAUGGAACACAUGUCCUUCCUCUUCCUCCACAACCACCUCCACAUCCCCUCCCCACCCACUCUUCUUCAGCUUCUCCGCGUAACCCAACCCUUGCCGCACGAACACAUCUUUCCCCGCCACCGCAACCAAAACCUUCUCACAUCCCAACCCGGAAAAAUCCGACCCGGAUCCGACCACGUUAAAUAACGGAUCAUCCGUACCGUUAACACUAUUCGGACUAGCGAUCUCCUCCCAAACUUGCGCGAUUCCUCUCCUCGUCUCCGCGUCUUGCACGUCGUGCUCGUCGACAGGAUCAGUCCCCCAGAAAGCUGGAUGAACGAUCGCAACACCUUUGAUCCUCGGCUCAAGCUUCUCCCUACCCGCUCUCAUGGCCAUGUGGUGCGACAUGUUGGCUCCGGCGGAGUCUCCGCCGAUGAAAACUCUCUCGAAAUAUGCGUGCUGGUUGAUCCAUUCCUCCGGACCGGAUCCACCGGCGUGGGAGAAGAUCCACUCAAUCGCCGACCAAGAAUCCUCGUACGCCGCCGGGAUCGGGUGCUCCGGCGCGCGGCGGUACUGGACCGAGACGGCGAGGCAGUUGGCGGACUUGGCGAGCUCCGCGACGUGGUUGUGGUAGAGGGGGGAGAAAGGUGACUCGAUGAUCCAAGCUCCGCCGUGGAUGUAGAUUAGCAGAGGGAGCUUCUUGUUCUUGUUGUUGUUGUGAGGGAGGAAGAGACGGACGGAGAGGUUAUGUUCCGGGGAGUAUACGACGUCCUUUGAAACGACGUCGUUUGUUGCGUCUAGUGAAGGAGGGAUGAUCUCGGUGCCGGUGAGACGCUCCACGCGACCGUCUUUGUAGAUACGACCGAAGGGAAGAAACUCUGAGACGAUUUCAG